rnacentral:rRNA from 1 species
GAUGAACGCUAGCGGCAGGCUUAAUACAUGCAAGUCGAGGGGCAGCACGGGUAGCAAUACUUGGUGGCUACCGGCGCACGGGUGCGUAACACGUAUACAACCUACCUAUAACAGGGGGAUAGCCUUUCGAAAGAGAGAUUAAUACCCCGUAAUAAAAUGAGUGGCAUCACUUGAUUUUGAAAGCUCCGGCGGCUAUACAUUGGUAUGCGUUUGAUUAGGUAGUUGGUAGUGUAAUGGACUACCAAGGCGACGAUCAAUAGGGGAUCUGAGAGGACUACCCCCCACCAUUAUACUGAGACACGGACCAGACUCCUACGGGAGGCAGCAGUAAGGAAUAUUGGACAAUGGUGGCAACACUGAUCCAGCCAUGCCGCGUGCAGGAAGACGGCCCUAUGGGUUGUAAACUGCUUUUGUACCAGAGAAAACCUAUCUGCGUGUAGAUAGCUGAUAGUAUGGUAAGAAUAAGCAUCGGCUAACUUCGUGCCAGCCGCCGCGGUAAAAC